rnacentral:rRNA from 1 species
UACGGGGGGGGCAAGCGUUGUUCGGAAUUACUGGGCGUAAAGGGCUCGUAGGCGGCCAACUAAGUCGGACGUGAAAUCCCUCGGCUUAACCGGGGAACUGCGUCCGAUACUGGAUGGCUUGAGUUCGGGAGAGGGAUGCGGAAUUCCAGGUGUAGCGGUGAAAUGCGUAGAUAUUCGCAAGAACACCAGUGGCGAAGGCGGCUCACUGGCCCGGUACUGACGCUGAGGUGCGAAAGCGUGGGGAGCAAACAGG